rnacentral:rRNA from 1 species
CCUACGUGAGGCAGCAGUAGGGAAUCUUCCACAAUGGGCGCAAGCCUGAUGGAGCAACACCGCGUGAGUGAAGAAGGGUUUCGGCUCGUAAAGCUCUUUUGUUGGAGAAGAACGUGCGUUAGAGUAACUGUUCACGCAGUGACGGUAUCCAACCAGAAAGUCACGGCUAACUACGUGCCAGCAGCCUCGGUAAUACGUAGGUGGCAAGCGUUAUCCGGAUUUAUUGGGCGUAAGGCGAGCGCAGGCGGUUGCUUAGGUCUGAUGUGAAAGCCUUCGGCUUAACCGAAGAAGUGCAUCGGAAACCGGGCGACUUGAGUGCAGAAGAGGACAGUGGAACUCCAGGUGUAGGAGUGAAAUCCGUAGAUAUCUGGAGGAACAUCAGUGGCGAAGGCGACUAUCUGGCACAUAACUGACGCUGAGGAGCGAAAGCGUGGGUAGCAAACAGGAUUAGAUACCCCUGUAGUC